rnacentral:rRNA from 1 species
CAGUAGCCGCGGGAAUACGAAGGGUGCAAGCGUUAAUCGGAAUUACUGGGCGUAAAGCGCGCGUAGGUGGUUUGGUAAGAUGGAUGUGAAAUCCCCGGGCUCAACCUGGGAACUGCAUCCAUAACUGCCUGACUAGAGUACGGUAGAGGGUGGUGGAAUUUCCUGUGUAGCGGUGAAAUGCGUAGAUAUAGGAAGGAACACCAGUGGCGAAGGCGACCACCUGGACUGAUACUGACACUGAGGUGCGAAAGCGUGGGGAGCAAACAGGAUUAGAUACCCGUGUAGUCCCUGUCUCUUAUAU